GACGUAGGGCGCGAGCGUUGUCCGGAUUUAUUGGGCGUAAAGAGCUCGUAGGCGGCUUGUUGCGUCGACCGUGAAAACCCGGGGCUCAACUUCGGGCUUGCGGUCGAUACGGGCGGGCUAGAGUUCGGUAGGGGAGACUGGAAUUCCUGGUGUAGCGGUGAAAUGCGCAGAUAUCAGGAGGAACACCGGUGGCGAAGGCGGGUCUCUGGACCGCAACUGACGCUGAGGAACGAAAGCUAGGGGAGCAAACAGG
rnacentral:rRNA from 1 species